AUGCCGGCCGCUGGCAGCGGACGCGGAGAAGGCGGCUGCGGAUGUGAUGACGCCGGCCGCCUCGCCACCGCAAUCUCCUGGAUCCGGCCGACACAGAGGAAAGGAGGCCGACCCAGAGCUCACAGGAGGUCUUCGGCGGCACACCUGACCGCCUCGCCACAACAAUCUCCUCGAUGCGGUCGGGAGGAGAGGCAUGCGCAGGCGGCGAGGAAGGCAGGCGACCCCGCGGCCUCGCGCCACUACCGACACACGCACCAGAGGCUGAAGAAGCGAGGACGCGCUCAAGCAUGUCCUCGUGGAGCUGCCCAAGCUUAG
rnacentral:rRNA from 1 species